AAAGAAGCCUCAGCAAUCUCCAAGGAGAUACGUCUUGUGCUGCUGGGAGAGCUUACACUAUAGUCUGAACUUCUACAGAGCCUUUUCCUACUGUAAACCUCACUCAAAAAUGACAGCCUUCCAUUUCACAAGAAUCAGAGUCUUGCUAUGUUGCCCACGUGGUAUCAACUCCUGGCCUCAAGUGAUCUUCCUGCCUCAGCUUACCAAAGUGUUGGGAUUACAGAUGUGAGCCACAGUGCCCAGUCUGUGUGUGUUUUUAUAAUUGGAAGUACAUGACAUCUUUUACACAAUAUGCAAAUGCAUAUUGAGGAAGGAGGGAGAGCAACUAUGUCUAAAAGUAAUCACAAUAAGUCUUGACCCAUUAACUGUACAGAUCAAAAUCCACACCAAUUUUAGAUUCAGAGAACACUAUGUCUUUUUAAAAAUCUAUUUAGAAACUACUUACAGUAUUUUUUAGAAAAUGCACAGGAACCCCUGUUAAGAAAUAAAAUAUUCCUUGCAAUAGUUUGCUGAGAAUGAUGGUUUCCAGCUUGAUCCAUGUCCCUAUACCUAAUGUUAAAUGACGAGUUACUGGGUGCAGCACACCAAUAUGGCACAUGUAUACAUAUGUAACUAACCUGCACGUUGUGCACGUGUACCCUAAAACUUAAAGUAUAAUAAAAUAAAUAAAUA
ensembl:lncRNA novel transcript